GGGUGGUGUCAGAAAGAGGAGGAGGGUGGUAUCAGAAAGAGGGUGGUGUCAGAAAGAGGAGGAGGGUGGUAUCAGAAAGAGGGUGGUAUCAGAAAGAGGGUGGUAUCAGAAAGAGGAGGGUGGUGUCAGAAAGAGGGUGGUGUCAGAAAGAGGAGGAGGAAGGUGGUAUCAGAAAGAGGAGGGUGGUAUCAGAAAGAGGAGGAGGGUGGUAUCAGAAAGAAGAGGAGGGUGGUAUCAGAAAGAGGAGGAGGAGGCUGGUAUCAGAAAGAGGAGGAGGGUGGUAUCAGAAAGAGGAGGGGGGUGGUGUCAGAAAGAGGAGGAGGGUGGUAUCAGAAAGAGGAGGAGGGUGGUAUCAGAAAGAGGAGGGUGGUAUCAGAAAGAGGAGGGUGGUAUCAGAAAGAGGAGGGUGGUAUCAGAAAGAGGAGGGUGGUAUCAGAAAGAGGAGGGUGGUAUCAGAAAGAGGAGGGUGGUAUCAGAAAGAGGAGGGUGGUAU